rnacentral:tRNA from 1 species
AAAAACUUAGGUUAAUUAAACCAAGAGCCUUCAAAGCCCUAAAUAAGGACAACAACCCUUAGUUUUUG